UGAUCGGGCUUCAGCAGUCGAACGAACUCUGGUAUUGAUUGGUGCUUGCAUCAUGAUUUACAUUUGAGUGAGUGGCGAACUGGUGAGUAACACGUGGGAAACCUGCCCAGAAGCGGGGGAUAACACCUGGAAACAGAUGCUAAUACCGCAUAACAACUUGGACCGCAUGGUCCGAGUUUGAAAGAUGGCUUCGGCUAUCACUUUUGGAUGGUCCCGCGGCGUAUUAGCUAGAUGGUGGGGUAACGGCUCACCAUGGCAAUGAUACGUAGCCGACCUGAGAGGGUAAUCGGCCACAUUGGGACUGAGACACGGCCCAAACUCCUACGGGAGGCAGCAGUAGGGAAUCUUCCACAAUGGACGAAAGUCUGAUGGAGCAACGCCGCGUGAGUGAAGAAGGGUUUCGGCUCGUAAAACUCUGUUGUUAAAGAAGAACAUAUCUGAGAGUAACUGUUCAGGUAUUGACGGUAUUUAACCAGAAAGCCACGGCUAACUACGUGCCAGCAGCCGCGGUAAUACGUAGGUGGCAAGCGUUGUCCGGAUUUAUUGGGCGUAAAGCGAGCGCAGGCGGUUUUUUAAGUCUGAUGUGAAAGCCUUCGGCUCAACCGAAGAAGUGCAUCGGAAACUGGGAAACUUGAGUGCAGAAGAGGACAGUGGAACUCCAUGUGUAGCGGUGAAAUGCGUAGAUAUAUGGAAGAACACCAGUGGCGAAGGCGGCUGUCUGGUCUGUAACUGACGCUGAGGCUCGAAAGUAUGGGUAGCAAACAGGAUUAGAUACCCUGGUAGUCCAUACCGUAAACGAUGAAUGCUAAGUGGUUGGAGGGUUUCCGCCCUUCAGUGCUGCAGCUAACGCAUUAAGCAUUCCGCCUGGGGAGUACGGCCGCAAGGCUGAAACUCAAAGGAAUUGACGGGGGCCCGCACAACCGGUGG
rnacentral:rRNA from 2 species